rnacentral:misc_RNA from 1 species
GAUGAAGAACGCAGCGAAAUGCGAUAAGUAGUGUGAAUUGCAGAAUUCAGUGAAUCAUCGAAUCUUUGAACGCACAUUGCGCCCUUUGGUAUUCCUUAGGGCAUGCCUGUUCGAGCGUCAUUUCAACCCUCAAGCCCUGCUUGGUGUUGGGCGUUUGUCCUGCCUCCGCGCGGGACUCGCCUCAAAGACAUUGGCGGCCGGUUUCCCUUUGCAGGCCACGAGCGCAGCACAGCGAGCGCUCUAUGUGGACGCGGGGUCGGCGCACCAGAAGCCCUCUUUCUCGAAUUUUGACCUCGGAUCAGGUAGGGAUACCCGCUGAACUUAAGCAUAUCAAUAAGCGGAGGA